GUGCACACACACACACACACACACACACGCACGCACGCGCACACGCUAGUCCUAGACGGCCCUCCCCCUGCACGCGCCUACCCUUCCUCGCCCGCGCGACUGCUAACUCCCCUGUGCAGGCACAGCCCAAAGGGCCCCCAGCCCCUCCACAUCGCCAACUCCCUCCCAGGAUCUUGGGCAUGCAUGCGCAUGUGCCCAGCGUGAGUUUGAAGCUGCCGGGUCUGGGACUCAAACUGAGAUUGGCAUGCGAGAGUCCAGCAAUGUAACUAUUAGGCCAUCUGCUGGUCCCACACCAUCCUCCUUUAAACCAGGCAACAACCCCUUUGGGUCUAGGACACCUGCCACCGCCACUUAAGAUGAGCAGCCAGCGUAUCCUAUCGCUGCACUGUGCUGGGGACCGGGUAAACAGUAUCUCGUUUCAUCUCCAAGCACACGGGACGUUGCUAAGACGGGGGCCUCGAAGCCCAGAAUAACAAACCUUCCUGCAGUGCGCCAUACGACAACCAUCGUCAAGUGGCUUCUGGGAAACAAGGUGGCAUCGUGGUUAUGGCAGCUGGACCGCACAUGGCCGACUGCGCCGUCUGAGCCCGGCACCUGGCGACUGGAAAACACGCUGGGCGCAUGUGCGUGUGUGCCCAGGGCGCCAAGAGGAAAAUGGAACAGAAGGUUCGCGGUGUGCCCAUCCCCCGGGGUGCCUUCUCACGUUUGCUCUCUCUCUCUCUCUGGCAAGUGCAUAGCAAAAAAAAAAAAAUCUUUUUUUGGGGGUACUUCUAUUUCUGUCUAAAAGAUCUGUUCACAGGAUUAAAAAAAAUCUGUUCAAAUUCUAAAAAUAUCCUUAUAUCAGUGCUUCCCAAUGGCUGAGAUCAUUUCUGAGAGGUAAAUUAUCUAAGGUAAUUGAGUUACCUCCUCCUAAGGUGACAUGAUACUCUUUAAGAAUGGCACUGGCUAAGGGCCACUGGAUGGCACAAUGGUUACGUUGCUGGACUCCCGUAGUCAACUGCCAUCUGA